rnacentral:rRNA from 1 species
GUAGAGGUGACAGACCUAACGAGCUUAGUGAUAGCUGGUUACUUAAGAAAAGGAUCUUAGUCCUCCCCAAAUUUUUUACAAUAUUUAUAAAUAAAAACUAAAAUUUGGAGUUAUUCAAAUAAGGUACAGCCUAUUUGAACCAGGAUACAACCUCCUCAAACGGGUAAUUAAAUCCAUAUACAGCAAAGUAGGCCUAAAAGCAGCCAUCUUCAAAAAGCGUCAAAGCUUAUCUUCAAAUUUUCAUAAUCCCCCUAAUUUUUAAAACCCCUUAAUCUUUAUUAAGUAACUCUAUAAAAUUAUAGUAUUUAUUAUGUUAAAACUAGUAACGAGAAUCAGAACUUCUCUUUAAUGUAAGUGUAAAUCAGAAUGGACAAACCACUGAUUUUUAACACUUGAAACCAAAGUAACAACCCACCAAGAAAAUCUUACCUCAAAUAGUGUUAACCUGACACAAGAACAUUCUCAGACAGAUUGAAAGGAAAAGAAGGAACUCGGCAAACAUUAACCCCGCCUGUUUACCAAAAACAUCGCCUCUUGAUAAACAUAUAAGAGGUCCAGCCUGCCCAGUGACUCUGUUCAACGGCCGCGGUAUCCUAACCGUGCGAAGGUAGCGUAAUCACUUGUUCUUUAAAUGAGGACUAGUAUGAAUGGCAUCACGAGGGUUAUACUGUCUCCUUUCCCCAAUCAGUGAAACUAAUCUCCUCGUGAAGAAGCGAGGAUAAAUAUAUAAGACGAGAAGACCCUAUGGAGCUUAAAACUUUCAGCAAUUAUCUUUUCUAUAACAACCUUAAGGUUAUUACAUCAACUCUAAUAAUAUGCCUGUCAGUUUUCGGUUGGGGUGACCGCGGAGUAAAACUCACCCUCCGCAAUGAAUAUUAACAAUUAAGCAAAAAACUACAACUUUAUGCAUCAAAAAAUUGACAGUAUUGACCCAACACUUUGAUCAACGAACCAAGUUACCCUAGGGAUAACAGCGCAAUCCAUCUCAAGAGCUCAUAUCGACAGAUGGGUUUACGACCUCGAUGUUGGAUCAGG